UACGUAGGUGGCAAGCGUUGUCCGGAUUUACUGGGCGUAAAGGGCGCGUAGGCGGGCUACCAAGUCUGUGGUGAAAUCCUCCAGCUUAACUGGAGAACGGCCGUGGAUACUGGGAGCCUCGAGGGAGAUAGGGGCAGGCGGAACUGAUGGUGGAGCGGUGAAAUGCGUUGAUAUCAUCAGGAACUCCGGUGGCGAAGGCGGCCUGCUGGAUCUCAUCUGACGCUGAGGCGCGAAAGCCAGGGGAGCAAACGGG
rnacentral:rRNA from 1 species